rnacentral:rRNA from 1 species
CAGUAGCCGCGGGAAUACGGAGGGUGCAAGCGUUAUCCGGAUUUAUUGGGUUUAAAGGGUCCGUAGGCGGAUCUGUAAGUCAGUGGUGAAAUCUCACAGCUUAACUGUGAAACUGCCAUUGAUACUGCAGGUCUUGAGUAAAUUUGAAGUGGCUGGAAUAAGUAGUGUAGCGGUGAAAUGCAUAGAUAUUACUUAGAACACCAAUUGCGAAGGCAGGUCACUAAGAUUUAACUGACGCUGAUGGACGAAAGCGUGGGGAGCGAACAGGAUUAGAUACCCCAGUAGUCCCUGUCUCUUAUAU